UUUAUGGAGAGUUUGAUCCUGGCUCAGGAUGAACGCUGGCGGCGUGCCUAAUACAUGCAAGUCGAGCGAACAGACGAGGAGCUUGCUCCUCUGACGUUAGCGGCGGACGGGUGAGUAACACGUGGAUAACCUACCUAUAAGACUGGGAUAACUUCGGGAAACCGGAGCUAAUACCGGAUAAUAUAUUGAACCGCAUGGUUCAAUAGUGAAAGACGGUUUUGCUGUCACUUAUAGAUGGAUCCGCGCCGCAUUAGCUAGUUGGUAAGGUAACGGCUUACCAAGGCAACGAUGCGUAGCCGACCUGAGAGGGUGAUCGGCCACACUGGAACUGAGACACGGUCCAGACUCCUACGGGAGGCAGCAGUAGGGAAUCUUCCGCAAUGGGCGAAAGCCUGACGGAGCAACGCCGCGUGAGUGA
rnacentral:rRNA from 1 species